UGCCAGCCGCCGCGGUAAUACCGAGGUUCCAAGCGUUCUUCGGAUUUACUGGGCGUAAAGGGAGCGCAGGCGGAAGAAUUAGUCUGAAGUGGAAUCCCGGGGCUCAACCUCGGAAGUGCUUUGGAUACUGUUCUUCUUGAGUCCAUGAGAGGAAAGCGGAAUUCAGGGUGUAGCGGUGAAAUGCUUAGAUAUCCUGAGGAACACCAAUGGCGAAAGCAGCUUUCUGGCAUGUGACUGACGCUGAGGCUCGAAAGCGUGGGGAGCGGACGGGAUUAGAUA
rnacentral:rRNA from 1 species